CUACGGGACGCUGCAGUGAGGAAUUUUGCGCAAUGGGGGAAACCCUGACGCAGCAACGCCGCGUGAGUGAAGAAGGCCUUUGGGUCGUAAAGCUCUGUCAACAGGGAAGAAGUUACAAUUGUUUAAUAGAUGAUUGUAUUGACGGUACCUGUGGAGGAAGCGCCGGCUAACUCCGUGCCAGCAGCCGCGGUAACACGGGGGGCGCAAGCGUUAUUCGGAAUUAUUGGGCGUAAAGGGCGCGCAGGCGGUCUUGUCCGUCAGGUGUGAAAGCACGGGGCUCAACCCCGGAAGUGCACUUGAAACAGCAAGACUUGAAUACGGGAGAGGAAAGCGGAAUUCCUGGUGUAGAGGUGAAAUUCGUAGAUAUCAGGAGGAACACCGAUGGCGAAGGCAGCUUUCUGGACCGAUAUUGACGCUGAGGCGCGAAGGCGCGGGGAGCGAACGGGAUUAGAUACCCGAGUAGUC
rnacentral:rRNA from 1 species